rnacentral:rRNA from 1 species
GGCGAACGGGUGAGUAACACGUAAGAAUCUGCCCUUCAGUGAAGAAUACCUCCGAGAAAUCGGAGUUAAUGCUGCAUACGUCCCUUCGGGGAGAAAGACGGCCUCUUGCUGUCGCUGAAGGAUGAGCUUGCGCACUAUUAGUUUGUUGGUGGGGUAAAGGCCUACCAAGGCGAUGAUGGUUAGCCGGCCUGAGAGGGUGUACGGCCACACUGGGACUGAGAUACGGCCCAG